AUGCACGCUGGCGGCGUGCCUCAUACAUGCAAGUCGAGCGAACAGACGAGGAGCUUGCUCCUCUGACGUUAGCGGCGGACGGGUGAGUAACACGUGGAUAACCUACCUAUAAGACUGGGAUAACUUCGGGAAGCCGGAGCUAAUACCGGAUAAUAUAUUGAACCGCAUGGUUCAAUAGUGAAAGACGGUUUUGCUGUCACUUAUAGAUGGAUCCGCGCCGCAUUAGCUAGUUGGUAAGGUAACGGCUUACCAAGGCAACGAUGCGUAGCCGACCUGAGAGGGUGAUCGGCCACACUGGAACUGAGACACGGUCCAGACUCCUACGGGAGGCAGCAGUAGGGAAUCUUCCGCAAUGGGCGAAAGCCUGACGGAGCAACGCCGCGUGAGUGAUGAAGGUCUUCGGAUCGUAAAACUCUGUUAUUAGGGAAGAACAAAUGUGUAAGUAACUAUGCACGUCUUGACGGUACCUAAUCAGAAAGCCACGGCUAACUACGUG
rnacentral:rRNA from 1 species